GUGCCUACAAGUAGUUAGAGCCCGUUAAUGGGUGAUAGCGUGCCUUUUGUAGAAUGAACCGGCGAGUUACGAUUUGUUGCAAGGUUAAGCGGAAAAAGCGGAGCCGUAGCGAAAGCGAGUCUGAAUAGGGCGCAUAAGUAACAGGUCGUAGACCCGAAACCAGGUGAUCUACCCAUGUCCAGGAUGAAGGUAAGGUAAUACUUACUGGAGGUCCGAACCCACGCACGUUGAAAAGUGCGGGGAUGAGGUGUGGGUAGCGGAGAAAUUCCAAUCGAACUUGGAGAUAGCUGGUUCUCUCCGAAAUAGCUUUAGGGCUAGCCUCGAGGUAAAGAGUCAUGGAGGUAGAGCACUGUUUGG
rnacentral:rRNA from 1 species